GCGAACGGGGAGGAGCCCAGAGCCUGAAUCAGCAUGUGUGUUAGUGGAAGCGUCUGGAAAGGCGCGCGAUACAGGGUGACAGCCCCGUACACAAAAGCGCAUGUGUUGUGAGCUCGAUGAGUAGGGCGGGACACGUGGUAUCCUGUCUGAAUAUGGGGGGACCAUCCUCCAAGGCUAAAUACUCCUGACUGACCGAUAGUGAACCAGUACCGUGAGGGAAAGGCGAAAAGAACCCCGGCGAGGGGAGUGAAAAAGAACCUGAAACCGUGUACGUACAAGCAGUGGGAGCACAGGUUUACCUGUGUGACUGCGUACCUUUUGUAUAAUGGGUCAGCGACUUAUAUUCUGUAGCAAGGUUAACCGUAUAGGGGAGCCGGAGGGAAACCGAGUCUUAACCGGGCGUUAAGUUGCAGGGUAUAGACCCGAAACCCGGUGAUCUAGCCAUGGGCAGGUUGAAGGUUGGGUAACACUAACUGGAGGACCGAACCGACUAAUGUUGAAAAAUUAGCGGAUGACCUGUGGCUGGGGGUGAAAGGCCAAUCAAACCGGGAGAUAGCUGGUUCUCCCCGAAAGCUAUUUAGGUAGCGCCUCGUGAAUUCAUCUCCGGGGGUAGAGCACUGUUUCGGCUAGGGGGCCAUCCCGGCUUACCAACCCGAUGCAAACUGCGAAUACCGGAGAAUGUUAUCACGGGAGACACACGGCGGGUGCUAACGUCCGUCGUGAAGAGGGAAACAACCCAGACCGCCAGCUAAGGUCCCAAAGUCAUGGUUAAGUGGGAAACGAUGUGGGAAGGCCCAGACAGCCAGGAUGUUGGCUUAGAAGCAGCCAUCAUUUAAAGAAAGCGUAAUAGCUCACUGGUCGAGUCGGCCUGCGCGGAAGAUGUAACGGGGCUAAACCAUGCACCGAAGCUGCGGCAGCGACACUGUGUGUUGUUGGGUAGGGGAGCGUUCUGUAAGCCUGUGAAGGUGUGUCGUGAGGCAUGCUGGAGGUAUCAGAAGUGCGAAUGCUGACAUAAGUAACGAUAAAGCGGGUGAAAAGCCCGCUCGCCGGAAGACCAAGGGUUCCUGUCCAACGUUAAUCGGGGCAGGGUGAGUCGACCCCUAAGGCGAGGCCGAAAGGCGUAGUCGAUGGGAAACGGGUUAAUAUUCCCGUACUUGGUGUUACUGCGAAGGGGGGACGGAGAAGGCUAUGUUGGCCGGGCGACGGUUGUCCCGGUUUAAGCGUGUAGGUGUGUGUUCCAGGUAAAUCCGGUUCACUUUAACACUGAGGCGUGACGACGAGGCACUACGGUGCUGAAGCAACAAAUGCCCUGCUUCCAGGAAAAGCCUCUAAGCAUCAGGUAACAUCAAAUCGUACCCCAAACCGACACAGGUGGUCAGGUAGAGAAUACCAAGGCGCUUGAGAGAACUCGGGUGAAGGAACUAGGCAAAAUGGUGCCGUAACUUCGGGAGAAGGCACGCUGACACGUAGGUGAAGUGAUUUACUCAUGGAGCUGAAGUCAGUCGAAGAUACCAGCUGGCUGCAACUGUUUAUUAAAAACACAGCACUGUGCAAACACGAAAGUGGACGUAUACGGUGUGACGCCUGCCCGGUGCCGGAAGGUUAAUUGAUGGGGUCAGCGCAAGCGAAGCUCCUGAUCGAAGCCCCGGUAAACGGCGGCCGUAACUAUAACGGUCCUAAGGUAGCGAAAUUCCUUGUCGGGUAAGUUCCGACCUGCACGAAUGGCGUAAUGAUGGCCAGGCUGUCUCCACCCGAGACUCAGUGAAAUUGAACUCGCUGUGAAGAUGCAGUGUACCCGCGGCAAGACGGAAAGACCCCGUGAACCUUUACUAUAGCUUGACACUGAACAUUGAGCCUUGAUGUGUAG
rnacentral:rRNA from 1 species